UGGCGCAUGCUUACCAUGCAGUCGAACGAUGAAGCCCAGCUUGCUGGGUGGAUUAGUGGCGAACGGGUGAGUAACACGUGAGUAACCUGCCCUUGACUCUGGGAUAAGCCUGGGAAACUGGGUCUAAUACCGGAUAGGAACGUCCACCGCAUGGUGGUUGUUGGAAAGAUUUAUCGGUCAUGGAUGGACUCGCGGCCUAUCAGCUUGUUGGUGAGGUAAUGGCUCACCAAGGCGACGACGGGUAGCCGGCCUGAGAGGGUGACCGGCCACACUGGGACUGAGACACGGCCCAGACUCCUACGGGAGGCAGCAGUGGGGAAUAUUGCACAAUGGGCGAAAGCCUGAUGCAGCGACGCCGCGUGAGGGAUGACGGCCUUCGGGUUGUAAACCUCUUUCAGUAGGGAAGAAGCGAAAGUGACGGUACCUGCAGAAGAAGCACCGGCUAACUACGUGCCAGCAGCCGCGGUAAUACGUAGGGUGCGAGCGUUAUCCGGAAUUAUUGGGCGUAAAGAGCUCGUAGGCGGUUUGUCGCGUCUGUCGUGAAAGUCCGGGGCUUAACCCCGGAUCUGCGGUGGGUACGGGCAGACUAGAGUGCAGUAGGGGAGACUGGAAUUCCUGGUGUAGCGGUGGAAUGCGCAGAUAUCAGGAGGAACUCCGAUGGCGAAGGCAGGUCUCUGGGCUGUAACUGACGCUGAGGAGCGAAAGCAUGGGGAGCGAACGGGAUUAGUUACCCUGGUAGUCC
rnacentral:rRNA from 1 species